CUAAGCCAGCUAGUCCAGCAAUCAAAGAACUUUCAGAACUUGUUAUACAAUGAAAAGUCAAAACUAAAUGGAGUAACCAUGAAUGUGUUGGAGAACUUCUCGACUCCAUGUCUCCACCAAUGAAUGCUAUCAUGGAUAACAAAUCAAAUCUCCUACGUGGAUACUUUCCGCCAAACGUCACCAGUAACGUGGGUAUUUCUCAAAUCUUUCCUCUUAAUUUUCCAGCUUUGGUUCUCAAGUGCUUUGUUGGAGCACUUCAAAGAAGCACACCAAAACCCAUCUUUACA